rfam:Triticum aestivum genome assembly, contig: Triticum_aestivum_CS42_TGACv1_scaffold_271450_3DS
AAUAUACUCCCUCCGUCCGGAAAAACUUGUCGGAGAAAUGAAUGUAUCUAGAUGGAUUUUAGUUCUAGAUAGAUCCAUUUUUAUCCAUUUCUUUGACAAGUAUUUUCGGGCGGAGGGAGUAUAAA